rnacentral:lncRNA from 11 species
CAGUGUUUGUUUUUCAGACGGACAAGAGAUUGCAUGUCCCUGGACGCCUCGCAGGGAUAUCUGGUCAUCAGAGUGACUUCCAUGAAGAAGGUGGGUAGUGCUCCGCAGAGCUUCCUAUAUAUUUAUUGGACAGCAUAUAAGUGCAACUUAUGUGUAAGUGAAGUAGCAGACCUUGCCAAAGAGAUGCCUGAACUAUCAAAGGAAAUUGCAACAAAUAAAAUCAGGUCUCUUCCAGCGAAAAUGCUUUCAGAGAAUAUGCUAAAAGCAAAUGAAACAAAUAAAAUGAGAAAUGUGCUGCUUGCAAAUGCAUUUUCAAAAGGUAUACUUUAUUUUGUUGCAUUCACUGCAUUAUUUUGGGGUAGAUUGUUUCACCAAAUCUUGUAAAAAUAGGAGUCUCUGUAGAAUAAGACAAAUGGUGAAUCAGUACUUGAGAAUGUCCUGUUAGUUUAAUAGGCCUCCUCAAAAUGGGACGAGUGAUUACAUUUGGGCCUAUAUAUAUAACAUCUUUAGCCCACAGUCCAAGCUUUCAACCAGGACCCUUGACAACUCUUUCUUCAGCAAGGUAAGAAGUAUGUUUUAUUAUCUGAAUAAUUCAACUUUUGCAGGAGAUUCAAAAGCAAAUAAUAGUUCAUUUCCCAUCAAUGGAUAUGUGACAGAAAGGAAGAAACAAGAAACGCGGGAUGACUUUGCCAUCAAUUGUAUCAAUUAAUUCUGACACAAAAUCAUCAGGAAAGCAUGUUAUGUUGUUUCACUGAUAGAAUCAGAGAUACCAAUUAGAUAUGUAAGAUAGAACCCAAUGGCAUUUCACAUGGCGAAUCAUUUCUCCAAAUUGUCUGGAAUCAUGUAUGCAGUUGAAAAGCAGUAACUUAAAUUUUCUGUGUCUUUCCCUUUUUAUUUUCAGGGAUCAUGUUUGGAAGAAUAGAGAUACCUUCAACUCAAGAUUUCAAAUGAUUGGAAUAAUCAAAAUUCCAUAUGUAUCUUUGAAGUGUAUAUAUGUAUAUAAUUUAAAACUAGCUUAGGGACCUUUUUAGCUAUUUUGUAAUGCCAUUUAGGUCCCUUUACGUUUGGACACAAAGUUAUAAAAAUAAUAAAUUAGUUGUGCCUUGCA